UGUCCCAGUUCGGACUGGAGUCUGCAACCCGACUCCACGAAGUUGGAUUCGCUAGUAAUCGCGCAUCAGCCAUGGCGCGGUGAAUACGUUCCCGGGCCUUGUACACACCGCCCGUCAAGCCAUGGGAGCCGGGGGGCGCCUGAAGUCCGGGACCGCGAGGACCGGCCUAGGGCGAAACUGGUAACUGGGGCUAAGUCGUAACAAGGUAUC
rnacentral:rRNA from 1 species